AGUGAACGCUGGCGGUAGGCCUAACACAUGCAAGUCGAACGGCAGCACAGUAAGAGCUUGCUCUUACGGGUGGCGAGUGGCGGACGGGUGAGGAAUACAUCGGAAUCUACUUUUUCGUGGGGGAUAACGUAGGGAAACUUACGCUAAUACCGCAUACGACCUACGGGUGAAAGCAGGGGAUCUUCGGACCUUGCGCGAUUGAAUGAGCCGAUGUCGGAUUAGCUAGUUGGCGGGGUAAAGGCCCACCAAGGCGACGAUCCGUAGCUGGUCUGAGAGGAUGAUCAGCCACACUGGAACUGAGACACGGUCCAGACUCCUACGGGAGGCAGCAGUGGGGAAUAUUAGACAAUGGGCGCAAGCCUGAUCCAGCCAUACCGCGUGGGUGAAAAAGGCCUUCGGGUUGUAAAGCCCUUUUGUUGGGAAAGAAAAGCAGCAGGUUAAUACCCCGCUGUUCUGACGGUACCCAAAGAAUAAGCACCGGCUAACUUCGUG
rnacentral:rRNA from 1 species